AGUGAACGCUGGCGGUAGGCCUAACACAUGCAAGUCGAACGGCAGCACAGUAAGAGCUUGCUCUUACGGGUGGCGAGUGGCGGACGGGUGAGGAAUACAUCGGAAUCUACUUUUUCGUGGGGGAUAACGUAGGGAAACUUACGCUAAUACCGCAUACGACCUACGGGUGAAAGCAGGGGAUCUUCGGACCUUGCGCGAUUGAAUGAGCCGAUGUCGGAUUAGCUAGUUGGCGGGGUAAAGGCCCACCAAGGCGACGAUCCGUAGCUGGUCUGAGAGGAUGAUCAGCCACACUGGAACUGAGACACGGUCCAGACUCCUACGGGAGGCAGCAGCGGGGAAUAUUGGACAAUGGGCGCAAGCCUGAUCCAGCUAUACCGCGUGGGUGAAGAAGGCCUUCGGGUUGUAAAGCCCUUUUGUUGGGAAAGAAAAGCAGCAGGUUAAUACCCCGCUGUUCUGACGGUACCCAAAGAAUAAGCACCGGCUAACUUCGUG
rnacentral:rRNA from 1 species